GACGAGCGCUGGCGGCGUGCUUAACACAUGCGAGUCGAACGAUGAGGCCUAGCUUGCUAGGUGGAUUAGUGGCGAACGGGGGAGUAAUACGUGAGUAACCUACCUUGAACUCUGGGAUAAGCCUGGGAAACUGGGGCUAAUACCGGAUACGACCAAUCUCCGCAUGGGGUGUUGGUGGAAAGCGGUAUGUAGUGGUUAUAGAUGGGCUCGCGGCCUAUCAGCUUGUUGGUGAGGUAACGGCUCACCAAGGCGACGACGGGUAGCCGGCCUGAGAGGGUGACCGGCCACACUGGGACUGAGACACGGCCCAGACUCCUACGGGAGGCAGCAGUGGGGAAUAUUGCACAAUGGGCGCAAGCCUGAUGCAGCGACGCCGCGUGAGGGAUGACGGCCUUCGGGUUGUAAACCUCUGUUAGCAGGGAAGGAGAGAGAUUGACGGUACCUGCAGAGAAAGCGCCGGCUAACUACGUGCCAGCAGCCGCGGUAAUACGUAGGGCGCGAGCGUUGUCCGGAAUUAUUGGGCGUAAAGAGCUUGUAGGCGGUUUGUCGCGUCUGCUGUGAAGGCCGGAGCUUAACUCCGUGUAUUGCAGUGGGUACGGGCAGACUAGAGUGCAGUAGGGGGGACUGGAAUUCCUGGUGUAGCGGUGGAAUGCGCAGAUAUCAGGAGGAACACCGAUGGCGAAGGCAGGUCUCUGGGCUGUAACUGACGCUGAGAAGCGAAAGCAUGGGGAGCGAACAGGAUUAGAUACCCUGGUAGUCCAUGCCGUAAACGUUGGGCACUAGGUGUGGGGAACAUUCCACGUUUUCCGCGCCGUAGCUAACGCAUUAAGUGCCCCGCCUGGGGAGUACGGCCGCAAGGCUAAAACUCAAAGAAAUUGACGGGGGCCCGCACAAGCGGCGGAGCAUGCGGAUUAAUUCGAUGCAACGCGAAGAACCUUACCAAGGCUUGACAUAUACUGGACCGCAUCAGAGAUGGUGUUUCCCUUCGGGGCUGGUAUACAGGUGGUGCAUGGUUGUCGUCAGCUCGUGUCGUGAGAUGUUGGGUUAAGUCCCGCAACGAGCGCAACCCUCGUUCUAUGUUGCCAGCACGUUAUGGUGGGGACUCAUAGGAGACUGCCGGGGUCAACUCGGAGGAAGGUGGGGAUGACGUCAAAUCAUCAUGCCCCUUAUGUCUUGGGCUUCACGCAUGCUACAAUGGCCGGUACAGAGGGUUGCGAUACUGUGAGGUGGAGCUAAUCCCUAAAAGCCGGUCUCAGUUCGGAUUGGGGUCUGCAACUCGACCCCAUGAAGUCGGAGUCGCUAGUAAUCGCAGAUCAGCAACGCUGCGGUGAAUACGUUCCCGGGCCU
rnacentral:rRNA from 1 species